rnacentral:ncRNA from 1 species
GGUCAUGAGCGCCAGCGACAAGCCCCGGCUCGCUGGCCGGCAACCCUCCGCCGCGGUGGGGUGCUCCGGGUGAGGACCAGGCCUCGACGGUCGGGGCAAGCGCGAGU